GACGAACGUUGGCGGCGUGCUUAACACAUGCAAGUCAACUGAAGCAGUGGUAGCAAUAUCGCUGUGGAGGUGGCGCACGGGUGAGUAACACGUAGGUAAUCUGCCUUCAGGUCUGGCAUAACUCCGGGAAACCGGGGCUAAUAGCAGAUGAUGCAGCGGCUCGACAUCGAGACAGUUGUUAAAGCUAUGGCGCCUGAAGAUGAGCCUGCGUCUGAUUAGCUAGUUGGCGGGGUAACGGCCCACCAAGGCAACGAUCAGUAGCUGGUCUGAGAGGAUGAUCAGCCACACUGGAACUGAGACACGGGCCAGACUCCUACGGGAGGCAGCAGUAAGGAAUAUUGCUCAAUGGGAGAAAUCCUGAAGCAGCAACGCCGCGUGAGGGACGAAGGGCUUUUGCUUGUAAACCUCUGUAGUGAGAGAAAAAAAUCCCAAUCUUUGGGACAUGAUGGUAUCUCAAAAGUAAGCCCCGGCUAACUACGUG
rnacentral:rRNA from 1 species